rnacentral:rRNA from 1 species
UGGGGAAUUUUCCGCAAUGGGCGCAAGCCUGACGGAGCAAGACCGCGUGAGGGAGGAAGGCUCUUGGGUUGUAAACCUCUUUUAUCAGGGAAGAAGAUCUGACGGUACCUGAUGAAUCAGCAUCGGCUAACUCCGUGCCAGCAGCCGCGGUAAUACGGAGGAUGCAAGCGUUAUCCGGAUUUAUUGGGCGUAAAGCGUCCGCAGGUGGUUUUUCAAGUCUGCUGUUAAAGCGCAGAGCUUAACUCUGUAACGGCGGUGGAAACUGAGAGACUAGAGUAUGGUAGGGGUUGCGGGAAUUCCCAGUGUAGCGGUGAAAUGCGUAGAUAUUGGGAAGAACACCAGCGGCGAAAGCGCGCAACUGGGCCAUUACUGACACUCAUGGACGAAAG